GUUCACCGAAGCUCCGGCUGAGGUCUUGCUGAGCACCCGCAGGCGCCUGUGUAUCAAUAAAUCGCCUCUCGCUUUUGCAGCCAGUGUCUCGUGUGCUUUUCCUUGGACAGGGAGUCGGAGGGUCUUUCACAGGUUCCUGCAGAGAGUCACAGACUUCUUUCUGGGUCUGGAGCUGGAGUGGUGAUGUCCAGGACAGAAGCUACAAGGUAAGGGGCACAGAAGCCCGUUGUGGGAGGGUCUGAUGCUUUGUAUUUUCCUCUUAGGGUCCAAGGCAACGUAUCAGCCUACAGCAGGUAAAGGGGAGACCUGCUUAUGGCCACACCCAGGUAGAGGGAUGGAAGGUGUUUGGGGAGGGCUAGGCAGGGCUCUUGUCUCCAGAGGCUGAGUAGGAGGACCCUGGCCUCCUGACCUCUCCCCGCAGCAGGCUGAGUGCACUUCAUCCCCUGCUUCCUGGUUCAUUCUGUGGCUCAGAGGCCAGGUAAGUGGCUCUGGAAGAGGAAGUCCCAGGAGUGAUAAGGAGGAUGUUGCUUGGAGGUCUUUCUCUCCCAGAAGAAUCACAACACAGGCUGCUUACAAGGAACUGGACAUCUUACCCUCCCGGAAAACCAGGAGGUCUUUGAUGUCAAUAUGUGAGCAAGUGUGAGCACAUGCCCAGGAUGCACAGUUGGUGAGAAGUGACCACUAUGGCCAUUGUGUUUGUUUCUUUCCCUCUACCUGCUAUGGGAAGGAAUGUAGGGAGGUGAGGCCGCUCAGACCUGGAGGGCAUGGUAAGGGCUAUUUCAACUGUUAAUUUUUCCAUUGAUUCUGUGUGUGAUUCUUUAUGGGAGCUAGGAAGAGCCUGAGACAGAAGAUGCAAGAGGGGAGGACCUUGGAGCAUCUGGGGGAUGGCAGGCCUUGCUGUCUUUGCCACAGGAAGUGCACCGUCCCUCCCUGGGUUUGGAAUGGACAAGAGCCUGCUGUCCUCACCUGGAGGAGUCUUCCUACUGCAUAGCAGGUUGGAGCUCUUUAUGCAUUUUUCCUGCAAUUUCAGCAGCUCUCCACCGCUUCAACCCAGCCUCAUGGAAAUUUGGCUGUGACCUGCGGACAGGAGAUGGCUUUUCUCCGUCUCUUCCCACACCUAGUCAUGCCCCACACGUGUUUACUGCCCAUCCACCUGUGGCCAGAUUUGGUGAGCUCCCUGCCUUCUCCAGGUUUAGCCGACCUGCUUGGGUUGUGCAGCUGCUAUCUGGCAGCCCAGGGACUCUGACCAAGCCCCUGUCCCUAGGGUCUGCGUUCUCAGAAACAACUCUGCUUCCUCUCUGUAGGAGACUUGGCACAGGAGAGGGAGAUGCAGAGGCUGGACCUAUCAGGCCAGGGAGCUACCUUCUGGAGACUUCAAUCAGAAGGGGUAGGGAGUUUUCAACUCUAGAUUUCCAAAAGUGUUCUGCUUGGGUCCCUUUGGUGACCACGGGGACUUGAAAACCCUCAUCAGUCCUGGGGGAUGUUCUGGUUUCUCCAAAGAACUGUGAAGGUCAUUGGGUACCACAAAAUAUUUGUCAUCAGGACCAAAAGGCCUCAAAAGCUCAGUGUGACUGUUGUGUGUCCGCCAGGUUCAGUGGAAACAUGGCUCCUCUCAGCCUCUUUGCUGAUUCUGGUUUGAAGGUAUUUAAUUCCUCCCUCUCUCCAGGUACGGUUUACAAACAGGCACGGAGAACCCAGCAGCAAGAAGUUUUCCCUGAUACUAUUUUUGGGUGCAGGCACAGGACUGGGGAUGGAACCCAGCGAUGCUUUACCUCUGAUCUACAUUCCUCGUCCUUUUCACUUUUUAUGGAGACAGGGUCUUGCUAAGUUGCUAAGGCUGGUCUGGAACUUGCAAUCUGCCUUCUUCAGCCUCCUGAGAAGCUGAGAUUACAGGCGUGUGUCACCAAGCCCAUCGGGAGGUUGGCUCUGAAAGCCAUAAAGGGCUGUUGAUCCUCAGGGAGUUGGGACGCAGGUGAGAGCAUGAAAACUUGGAUGAACAGCUUCCCUUUCUACAGACACAGACGGUCAGUCUUCAUAAAGUAAUAAGAACACAUGUCAUUUUGUGCUACUAAUAAAUGCCUCAUUUGUCCACCAUGGCUAAUAUUUAGGAAUUCUUAUUACUUAGUCUGGGGACUACACUCUGGACAUUUCUGGUGUCCUUCAUUUUGUGCCUUGAGGAAGAGUUUCCCUCUGAGUUGAUACUCUGACUACUACUGCUGCACACACACACACACAUACAGAGAGAGAGAGAGAGAGAGAGAGAGAGAGAGAGAGAGAGAGAGAGAGAGAGGGAGAGGGAGAGAUUGAUUUUGUUGUAGUUGUUGCUCUGUGGUGGGGGGGAUCAAACCCAGGGCCUUGUAGGUGCCAGGCCUCACUCUGCCACAGCUACUCUGUGCUGGUGCACUUAUUUAUAAAAUUUCUAGGUCUUGAUUAUCCCCACAGGCUUUACUUGCAUGUUUGCUGUGACAACGGAUGGUCCUACCAGCAGGAGGCAAGGAACACAGGAUUUGUCCCCAUGACCCAGAUGUAAAUCUGAUGAAAACAGAUCUUCCCUCAAGUCACCUGGAGUCAGGUAGGGGAGAGAAAGGCUGGAAUAAAGAGGUGAAAUGAAAGGAGCAGGUGGCAGAGACAGAGGUAAGUGUCCCUCUCUUCCCACCCCCAAGGGUAUGUGAGAACUUCCGACCUGGCUUCCUAACCAGUUAUAGGGAGGCCAUUACCUCCCUGACAGGUCACCCAGUUCCACUUGGGCAAUGUAGGGAGGUCUUUCUGGUCUUCACACUGGCAGAACAGAGUAGAAAUAGGGCUUAUCUCAUCAGUCUAAUGUGGUAAUUAGGGUGUUAGAUCAGGAUGUUUGCCAUGAGAAAUGGGUGUCCCUGUCAGCUCUGAGAGGGACCGUGGCCUUUCCUGCACCGACAUGUGAAGUGCAUCUCAGGAAGAAACAAGGAAAGUCAGAGAGACCGAUGGGAACAAGAUGGAAGGACGUUUGGGGGAGAUGACUUCUCUGGAGGAGAGGAGCUGGUGGGUGAUGGUUCUGGCCACCCAUUUUCCUGAUGCUCACUUCUUCCCCUUCAGGUUCCCAACCCCCAUGAAGAAUCACAGGUAUUCCCUGGUGGGGAAAGAGGUUCUGGAUCCUCCACACAUCCACUUGAUUUUCUGAGGCACUUGGUGAGGGUGGGGCCAGGGAGUGGGAAGAGAUGGAGGCACAGGCCACCCUCUGCCCGCUUGUGUCCCCAUGAGGUGUCAGGCAAGCAGUGAGGGUGGCCAUUGUGUGGGCUGGGGUGUGAUGCCCCUAGGGUCCUGCAACCUCCCGGUUCCAAUGACUGUAGUAUGGCAACAGCUUGUGUGGAUUCCUCCUUCUUCACUCCGUGUCUGCUCCCCAAAAUCCCCUCUGAUGCAGGGACAGGGAGAAGAUGUGAGACCUGCCAGGUAGGUGCUGCAGGGCUCAAAUCUGCCAGCUCACAUUCCUGUCCUGCGACCUCCCGCCUGCACAUCUAGUCAGCAGAUGGAAGCCUGCCAUUUGUGAAUUCUUGGCAACACGUAGAGAAACAUCAGUGUUUCCAGCAGUCGGCUGGAAAGCACACUGGGAACUUAGCAAUAUUUGGUCAGCCAACGCCCAAGGCUCCUUUCAACCCUAAGAAGGUGAGUGGAAGGUGAGUCCAAUCCCCAGCAUUCAAAUAAACGCAGAAAGAGCAACCUGUGGCUCACAGCUAUAAUUGUGAAGGUCAUCUGUUCCUGGGUAAAAACGAUUCUGAAUUAUCUUAGAUCUUUGCUACACCUAGCCUUUCAGCACUGUGAACUGUGAGGCUUCCCUUUCAAUAUCCUGAGAAGGGCAUGGAAACUAAAGUCACAACACUGAAGGGCAGUUGGUGGGCUGCAGUAACUGUGGUUCCGACUGCACCUGUAUACCUGUGAGCACACCUUUGGCAAUGGGCCUUUUUCUCCUCCUCCAGUCAGGCCUGGAAUUCAUUUCCCCACGUACUGACCCUGAGUGGCUCUAUGUGACUCCUUUUGGAAUAGUGUGUUCGAGGCAUGUCAUUGGUCACCUUCCUAGGGCCUGCCGGCCAGGGAAGAUGGCUUUUCUUAGUUUCUGCCCUUGUUCUGUCAGCAGAUGGAGCUCUCUGUGCUAUGAAGAAUUCCAGAGUGAAAGUUCAAGUGCAGGGAGAGACCCGCCAGCCUGGCUGUUCCUGCCUUUCCUUCUGGGAUCUGAUAUCCUAAUGAGAUGGGCUUCUGAGUCCAGCCCACGUUCCCUGACUGCAAUGGCAUGAGAGAGCUCAGGUUGGUCCAGCGGGGCUUUGUGUGAUCCUCAGGUGAGCACAGGUAGCCCACUUGUGAUCCUCAGGUGAGACUACUUGUUUUCUUCAAUGUGCUCAAUUACAUUUCACUUCUCUCAGCUUUUGUUAUUCAUCUACAAAUGUGAUAAAGCAAAGAUGACCCAAAUAGACUACUUAAAAUAGAAUGUUUUAAUAAAUCUGUAAGAAAUAGACAACUUGAAAUACCCUUUAAAAUGAUAGUCAGUUGCACCUAUAAAUGCAACCUUGUGUGAUAGAACCAAAAUCACAUAUAAAAUCAUGUUUCAACAGUUUUUACCAUUCUAACUUGACUAGCCUGGAAAAUUUUUUAUGCCUUAAUCAAUAAAAUAUAUCAGUUACCAGUCAGGGAGAAAUACUCCAAAAUUAUUCAUGGAACUAUUACUUUAUUGAAAUACAAAGGAAAAAUUUAACAAAUUAUUUAGUAUACACAGAAUUUUUUGAGCGGCGGGGUAUCAGGGGUUGAAGUCAGAAGCUCUUGGCCACUGAGCCACAUCCCCAACCCUAUUUUGUAUUUUAUUUAGACCUAAAUAAAAUACAAAAUAGGGUUGCGGAUGUAGGCCUUUUUGCUGAGACUGGCUUUCAACUCAUGAUCCUCCUGUGUCAGCCUCCCGAGCUGCUGGGAUUACAGGUGUGCCACCGCAUCCAGCCCAGAAUUUCUUUUGAUAGAUGCAAGUUAUUUUCUCUUUCUUCAACCUACUCAAAAUACAUAUUUUUGUCCAUCCUUCCUGCAGCAUCAUAUCAUAUUCACUAAGGUUCUUAUAGUGCAAAUGUGAAUUCUCCAACUUUUGUGAUUCCUUUCCAGAUUGAAAAGCAAUGAAACUAGAACCAUCCAAUCAGUUUUGGAAUGACUACAAAAAUCAGAAUUGGCUUGAGAUUGUAUUAAAAUCUGUGAAUUUUCAAUCCAUCAAUAUAUGCUGCAUCUCUACAUUUAAUUAGGAAUUAUUUAAUUUUCCUACUGACUGCUUUUGAGUUCUGCAGUGAAGUGUACUAAUGGAUGUCUUUAUCUUCUCCACCCCUUAGGUUUAAAGUUAAGUAGGAUCACCACAAGAUGCAGAAGAGUCUACGUGAUCCUGAGAAUUGAUUCUAUCAUGUCCUUCCAUCCUUUCAAUAACUUGUAAAAUAAUACAAAUUAAAAAGAUUAAGAGCGUCUGGCAUGGAGCAUACUCAAUCCUCAUUUGGGAAAAAUGCCAUGUAUAUAUUAGCGUAUUUUACAGAACAUAUAAUACAAAUAUUAUGUGCAUAUUAACAUACAAUAUUCAUAAUAUACAAUAUGAACAUAUAAUACUAUGUAGAACAUGUGAUAUAAAAUGCCUUUUUUCCUAAAUUCGAAUUUCCUAUGCAUGAUCUCUUAGAAAGCACGAAUGUACCUCGCACUAAAGAACACGUGCCUAGGUUCCCAAAGGUAUCUCUGUACUUGCAUCUAAACCCCCAAGAACACAACAUUUGCAGUAUGUGUUGUACAUGACUCUUCAAAAAGUUGCCAUUUAUAUUUUAGGCCACAUGAAUGACAUUCUUGUGAAAGGCACCACACACUUUUUGCAUUGACACCAAGACUGAUGCGGAGAAACUGUGCAACAUCUGCCCUCACUGCCCUCCCUCUCUCAAUCUUCCUUGAAUGAAGGCAUAUAUUUUCAGUUUUUGUUUCUUCCUCGAGGAGGGCCAUGCAAGAAAAAUGUAUGGAUGAAAGAAAAUUCCAAACAGGCCAAAGCCUUUCCCCACAUACCCUAAUGAUGGCCAUCUUCCAAAAAGCACUUACUAUCUGGCUCUGGACUGAAAAUGUGGCCCCACCAGCAAAGGCACUAUUCUGGAGAAAAGAGAAACCCAGAAUGCAAUGUUAGAAUUUCUUUUACUUUGCGUAGCAUUUGCUGAAUUAUGUAGUAAGUUGAAAUAUUACACCAAAAAUAUUUUCAAGGAAGAGUGUGAUCUAGGACAUUUUGUAGCACUAAAUGGAAAAAUUCGUACUCAUUGUCUGGGGUAGCCAUAAAUUCAUGAACAGUGGUGACACAGCUGUGGCAUUUGUUGAGUUUUGAAUAUGCUUGUAACAGAUGCUAAACAUACUCAGGUCAGAAUCUCUGAAAAGAAGACAAAAUUGAAUCUCUUUCAGUCUUCCAAGGCUCAAAAGACAGAAACCUGCCAAUCUCUCAAUCAAAUACCCAAUUGGGCCAUGCCAAAACAAAGGCCUAAAAAGAACAGCUGUAUUACCUCUUGACAAACUGAAGGCAUCAUGAAUAUAGCUCAAUCUGUGAUUGAAUUGAGGUGAUUUGUACCUCACAAUGUUUUUCUAACUGUGCAAAUAGAGAAUUGUUUAGGUUAGAAUAAGUCAUCUGUAUCCUCUAUAAUUAUUUUACAACAAAAUAUUUUACAUACACGAAAUUGGCUAGAGAUGAUAGAAAACAAUCUGGAAAAAAAAACAAUUCUAGCUUGGUACCAGUCUCUUUAAAGUUUUAUCAGAAAAUGAAAUGCAAAUUUGUUCAAAUAUUGUCAUUGACUGAUUUUGUGCUACACAGUUAAGAAUUGAGUAUUUGGGUCAGAGAUGGUACAGCUGGCAAAGUGUAAAAUAUUUACUAUUUUGUUCUACUUACUAUGUUGUUCUUUACAGAAGGUUAAUAACUCUUGUCAUAGGUUGUUCACUAAAAAUAAAAUACAUUUAUGUAUUGAAAA